AAAUGAGGAGGAUGGCUGGAGGCUCCUUUCUCUCCAUGUGAGGACUCCGGAGACCUACCCCCUCCCCCAGCCGGGCCCACUGGUCCUCCCAGCAGGGAGGGGAGGGCCAUGGUGACCUCCACCCCAGGCAGGGCUGUUCCCAGGCCCAGGGAAACCUGAAACCUUGUGUCCAAGUUCUUCCUUGAAACCUUAACUCCCACGGAGGCGCCGGUGUCAGCGGGGGUCCUUUGGGAGGAGAAGAGGUCCUGAGGUCAGCCCGGCAUGAAGCCAGUGUCCUUGCACACAGGCUGGAGAGCUGGCUAGAAGGUGGCCUCGCUCUGUGAUCGCGGGUACUCACCCCUGCCUGAGGGUACUGGCGGGGGGCGAUCGUUGGUGGGGGGGCUUGGUGAGCAGGUGCGCCAACUACGGCUCCGUCUUCUGCACGUUGUCUGAGCACAUCCUGGCUCCGACCUGCUGUGGGGCCCCCUGUCCUCUGUGGACGUGCCUGUGAGGCCCACGGCCCCAGCCGGAAGUGUGGGUGAUGGUGUAUUGGUGAAUCCACGGAAACGACGGAGGGAUUCCAGCAUCCACCCCUGGGGCUUCUCUCUUCCUCUCUGCUUCUUGAUCUGGGGCGCCACCAGUGCACACACUCACAGACACACAUGCACACGCCCACACACCUGCCCAGUGCAUGCGUUCACACACACAUGUGCACAUGCACUCUCACAGGAUGCAGGUGCACCCAGAAGCUCCUAGGGUGUCUCCUGAGGCACCGCUGCUGCACCCAGGGCACAGACACAUGCAUGCACAUGCACACAUAUGCGCAGGAUGCAGGUGCACCCAGAAGCUCCUAGGGCAUCUCCCCAGACACCACUGCUGCAUCCAGGGCACACAAACGUAUGCAUAUGCACACAUGCACGUGCACACACACGCACAGGACACAGGUGCACCUGGAAGCUCCUAGGGUGUCCCCCCAGGUGCCAAGCUGUCCGUCCCUCCUGGGGUGAUGGGUCAGCCCGCACUCAGCAUCAGCCUGAACCUGACGACCCCAGGUUGUAAACCUUACCGAUAAUGCGCAUCAACAGGUGGGCACCGAAGAUCAUCUUGUUAUGUCAGCACGUGCUGAUGGACGUCCACACUCAUCUUUGAGAGGCUGAGACUUUUGGACACAGUUGUGGACUGAGUUCAUAGGCUGAGACCUAACCCGCCAACAGAAGGCAACUACGUUUGGAAGGAGGACCGUGACAGGGGUGCUCAGGGGUUGGGCUUUCUGGUAAGAAGAGGAGGUGCUUCCUCCGCCACCCUGGACUCCUCUCCACCCUCAGAGAAGACCUGCAGCAAGGCAGGGCCAAGUCCUCUUGUCGAAGGUGGAAAGGCAGCGUGCGUGCUCCGUUGGAAGGCCCUGCACCCAGUGCACUGUGCCCUGUGACCCGUGGGGGCUUGCAGAGCUUUGCUUCCUUUGGAGGUUCAACGUGGAGUUCUUGGAGCCUAAAGAUAAGGCCAUCUGUCACUUAGCAAGCACGUUGGUCACCUUCCUUUGUACACAGUCGUCAUGACUCCAAAGGGUGCUUGAAAGGGAGACAUUGUCACAGUCUUGAGAAACUGUGGGUAACCAGAGCGUUCAUUCCACGCUGCCCAUGUUUCACCUGGACCUGUGACCUCGGAGGGGUUCGUCCUCAAACUGAGAAAUGGGUAUCUCAUCAUCCUGGCAUCAUCCUUUCCAUUUCACAGGUGUGGAAACUGCCUCGAGGAGGCCGAGGCAAAGUCACACAGGAAAUAGAGACAAACCCACACAUCGCUGUGCCAGGCACCAGGCCAAUUCUCACUCUUGGCCUAGCAGAGAGAGCACAUGUCACACAUGUUCCAGCCAGGACAAGCAAGCAGCUGGUCUGGUCUUCACAGACAAGACACACAGAUGGGAGUAGGAGGGCCUUCCCAGAGAAGAUAGAUGUAUGCUGUCACCAGGUGCUGGCAAAAGGCUCCAUCAGAGGCCUGUGUGGAAGAGGCUGGGAGUGUGCUGAGGCUUUGGAGCCUGGUUCUGUAGGAACAACAGGGAGUCAAACAAGGCCCUGAGUGGUAGACAUGCAUGAAGAGAGGAACCCAGAGCGGAUGGGUGGUCAGGACAGCGGUGGUGUCUGUCAGGAGGUCCCAAGAUGUGGUGGGAGCCCAGUUGGAGGAAGAAGAACUAGAACAAUCCAUGCUCUGAGCCACAGGAAACGUGCAAUGGCAUGAGGUUCAUUUUUAUUUUUUAUUUUAUAUUAUUUUUUUUAAAGAUUUUAUUCAUUUAUUCACAAUAGGCAUAGAGAG